UAACGCGAAGAACCUUACCAGGUCUUGACAUCUUUUGCUAACCUAAGAGAUUAGGCGUUCCCUUCGGGGACGGAAUGACAGGUGGUGCAUGGUUGUCGUCAGUUCGUGUCGUGAGAUGUUGGGUUAAGUCCCGCAACGAGCGCAACCCUUAUUGUCAGUUGCCAGCAUUUAGUUGGGCACUCUGGCGAGACUGCCGGUGACAAACCGGAGGAAGGUGGGGAUGACGUCAAAUCAUCAUGCCCCUUAUGACCUGGGCUACACACGUGCUACAAUGGACGGUACAACGAGUCGCGAAACCGCGAGGUCAAGCUAAUCUCUUAAAGCCGUUCUCAGUUCGGAUUGUAGGCUGCAACUCGCCUACAUGAAGUUGGAAUCGCUAGUAAUCGUGGAUCAGC
rnacentral:rRNA from 1 species